AUUGAACGCUGGCGGCAUGCUUUACACAUGCAAGUCGAACGGUAACGCGGGGCAACCUGGCGACGAGUGGCGAACGGGUGAGUAAUGUAUCGGAACGUGCCCAGUCGUGGGGGAUAACGCAGCGAAAGCUGUGCUAAUACCGCAUACGAUCUGUGGAUGAAAGCGGGGGACCGAAAGGCCUCGCGCGAUUGGAGCGGCCGAUGUCAGAUUAGGUAGUUGGUGGGGUAAAGGCUCACCAAGCCAACGAUCUGUAGCUGGUCUGAGAGGACGACCAGCCACACUGGGACUGAGAAACGGCCGAGACUCCUACGGGAGGCAGCAGUGGGGAAUUUUGGACAAUGGGCGAAAGCCUGAUCCAGCAAUGCCGCGUGCAGGAAGAAGGCCUUCGGGUUGUAAACUGCUUUUGUACGGAGCGAAAAGGUCUCCUCUAAAACAGGGGGCCCAUGACGGUACCGAAAGAAUAAGCACCGGCUAACUACGUGCCAGCCGCCGCGGUAAGAC
rnacentral:rRNA from 1 species